rnacentral:rRNA from 1 species
GACGAACGCUGGCGGCGUGCCUAAUACAUGCAAGUCGAACGAGUGGCGGACGGGUGAGUAAUGUCUGGGAAACUGCCCGAUGGAGGGGGAUAACUACUGGAAACGUUAGCUAAUACCGCAUACCAUCGGAUGUGCCCAUAUGGGAUGAGCUAGUAGGUGGGGUAACGGCUCCCCUAGGCGACGAUCCCUAGCUGGUCUGAGAUGAUGCCCAGCCACACUGGAACUGAGACACGGUCCAGACUCCUACGGGAGGCAGCAGUGGGGAAUAUUGCACAAUGGGCGCAAGCCUGAUGCAGCCAGGCCGCGUGUAUGAAGAAGGCCUUCGGGUUGUAAAGUACUUUCAGCGAGGAGGCGUUACCCGCAGAAGAAGCACCGGCUAACUCCGUGCCAGCAGCCGCGGUAAUAC